AAGAACAGGGGAGCAAACCCUUGUUCAAUUUUAAUCCAUCAAAUUGAAGGGCAAUUUGAGCCUUGAUUUCGUACAUGAACGCAUAUCAACGAUCACCUAAACUAGGGAAUCACAAGGCAAUUUGGGUGAAGCAUCAAGUGGUCAAGCCGGGGCGGACACGCGCUUGAAAGGAAAGCUUGAAGAUACGUGGCUUUAUCCUUCGUAGUAUUUGUUAAAUUUAUUUGUCAUUGGUGAAUAUUGAACGAGGAAGUAACACUCAUGAAGUUCAGUCCAUUCAUAAGUGAUAAAUUUCAUACGAAUGAAGCGAAUCGAUAAAUAAAAAGGUGGUUGUUAUGAAGUCACGUAUGAUGAUCAAGCAUAGUGAUGAACCGGGCACAAUCUAAGAUCAAGCUUCCGCGUUUUAUUUAGUACUUUGUGAAACCAAACAUCGUUAAAAUGUAGUAAUGCUUUCGAAUACUUAUGAAGUUUUAA